rnacentral:rRNA from 1 species
UACAGAGGGUGCAAGCGUUAAUCGGAAUUACUGGGCGUAAAGGGUGCGUAGGUGGUUUGGUAAGUUGGGUGUGAAAGUCCUGGGCUUAACCUGGGGAUUGCGCUCAAUACUGUCAAGCUAGAGUACUGUAGAGGAAGGUGGAAUUUCCAGUGUAGCGGUGAAAUGCGUAGAUAUUGGAAGGAACAUCAGUGGCGAAGGCGACUUUCUGGACAGAUACUGACACUGAGGCACGAAAGCGUGGGGAGCAAACAGG